AUUAGUGGCCUAAUUAGCCACCAGAAUGAAUGACCUGACGAAAAAUAAAUUUUCUUGUAUUUUACUGAAAUUAAUUAGUAGGUAAAAACCCCUAUAGAAUUUAGAUGGACGACAAGACCCUAAAACCUUCAUCAAUCCAUUAUUAAGAUUAUUUUACUGGGGCGGUAGAUAAUUUAAACAUUAUUCUAUAUAACAUAGUGAAUGACCAAUACUAACUUUAUAAAAUACAAAAAGGUACUUUAGGGAUAACAGCACAAUUCUUAUUAAGAGUAACCAUAUCGACAUAAGAGAUUAUGACCUCGAUGUUGAAUUGAUAUUACCUCACUAAGCAGAAAUAGUGAAAGUAGGUCUGUUCGACCUUUAAUCUAUCACGUGAUCUGAU
rnacentral:rRNA from 1 species